rnacentral:rRNA from 1 species
GACGAACGCUGGCGGCGUGCUUAACACAUGCAAGUCGAACGGAAAGGCCCUGCUUUUGUGGGGUGCUCGAGUGGCGAACGGGUGAGUAGCACGUGAGUAACCUGCCCUUGACUUUGGGAUAACUUCAGGAAACUGGGGCUAAUACCGGAUAGGAGCUCCUGCUGCAUGGUGGGGGUUGGAAAGUUUCGGCGGUUGGGGAUGGACUCGCGGCUUAUCAGCUUGUUGGUGGGGUAGUGGCUUACCAAGGCUUUGACGGGUAGCCGGCCUGAGAGGGUGACCGGCCAUAUUGGGACUGAGAUACGGCCCAGACUCCUACGGGAGGCAGCAGUGGGGAAUAUUGCACAAUGGGCGGAAGCCUGAUGCAGCAACGCCGCGUGCGGGAUGACGGCCUUCGGGUUGUAAACCGCUUUCGCCUGUGACGAAGCGUGAGUGACGGUAAUGGGUAAAGAAGCACCGGCUAACUACGUG